UAAGCUGCACCGCUUUGGUCCCUGUGAGGAAGAGUACAACACAGUUGGAGAGAGAAUCCAUCUUCGCUCUUCUUGAAUAAUAGGAAAAAGACGUAAAGCUGUCUUUGCAAGCUGGCGGUCCACAGCUGAAAUUGGCCUAGCAGUCUCUGGAAAGAAAGGCCCUGGACUGGAGACAGUGCUUCCUGGAAUUCAUCCACAGAGGUGUCCACAGGUCUGCCUUGGCUACAGGCUGACUUGCUUCACAGCUAAGGAUAGUUUCUUUCUUUCACCUUGGUUGAGGUUGGCACAGCAACCGACAGCUCUCAAUCAAGCAACCGUCUUGUGAUCCAUCAGCUAGGAGGUAAGACAGCAUAGUGAUAAUGAGUUCAAGAAUUGGCAUCAUUCAGACCCGCAUCCAAAUCCUCACUUACCAGUUACUAGCUGUGUGUUCUGGAGCACAGAGCUCUGAGCCUCAAUUUCUUCAUCUGUUAAAUGAGAAUAUCGAACUCAGUGUGGAGAUGUUAGAGGAUUAAUUGAGAAUGUAUAUCAAGGGCUAUCGCAAAGCCUGACACGUAAGUGCUCAAUGACUAGACAUUGUUUUUAAUGAAGAAAUAUUCCUAAAGGUAGCCUCAACUUUUCAUUCAUCAUGUGUCAAAAGGGUCCCUGUAUUUUCAGAAGAAUCCCGUCCACAAAUCACCAUCAACAAGAGUCAAGAUAUUGUCUGCUUCGGGAGUAUGCUUAGCAUCCUGCAUCCACCAUUUAUCAGGGGCUGAGUGCUUGCCCUAGCUCAGAGGAAGACCACACUCUCAGCAGUUCUCCAUCAGCAGCGUCACAAGGGAGUCAGCACCUUGUAGACCACUAUUUUAUGGAAUCCAAAGUGAGGCCACAUUCAAGAAAGAGCACCCUUCUUUAGAGUGUACUUCCUUCAGUAGGAGUGAAUUAGACACCCCAUUAGGUCCCAAUAUUCCAUUAGGAAUAUUUCUGCUCCUGGAAAGACUCCCUCACCUCUCCUUCCUCUCAACAUUCACAGCAUCACUAUCUGCCUUGGGACUAACAGCAAAAACCUUAUCACGCCCUUUAUCCCUGUUCAUCACAAGAAGUUCAGGACUUCAUCGCUCAUCUCCCCCUUCUUUAAUUCCAUCACCUUCUCUGGCCCAUCUCCUAUGCCUCACCAUCUCUUGAAACUUUCGCUUUGUCUCUGGAAACAUAAAGUCAAUCACUAUCAAAAUGCCCUUUACUCAGAUCUUCUUCUGUGGAUGUUCUCUUCACUUGCUCUGAUCUGCUCUUCUCUUCACAACUCCU
rnacentral:lncRNA from 1 species